ACAUCCAGCGAACUUUCCAGAGAUGGAUUGGUGCCUUCGGGAACGCUGAGACAGGUGCUGCAUGGCUGUCGUCAGCUCGUGUUGUGAAAUGUUGGUUAAGUCCCGNAACGAGCGCAACCCUUAUCCUUUGUUGCCAGCGAUUCGGUCGGGAACUCAAAGGAGACUGCCGGUGAUAAACCGGAGGAAGGUGGGGAUGACGUCAAGUCAUCAUGGCCCUUACGAGUAGGGCUACACACGUGCUACAAUGGCGCAUACAAAGAGAAGCGACCUCGCGAGAGCAAGCGGACCUCAUAAAGUGCGUCGUAGUCCGGAUCGGAGUCUGCAACUCGACUCCGUGAAGUCGGAAUCGCUAGUAAUCGUGGAUCAGAAUGCCACGGUGAAUACGUUCCCGGGCCUUGUACACACCGCCCGUCACACCAUGGGAGUGGGUUGCAAAAGAAGUAGGUAGCUUAACCUCCGGGAGGGCGCUUACCACUUUGUGAUUCAUGACUGGGGUGAAGUCGUAACAAGGUAAGCGUAGCGAG
rnacentral:rRNA from 1 species